GGGGAACUAGCUCAGAUGGUAGAGCGCUCGCUUUGCAUGCGAGAGGUACCGGGAUCGAUGCCCGGGUUCUCCA
rnacentral:tRNA from 1 species